ACAGUAAGAACAGCAGCAAUAUCCUUAUUUCUUGCUUUCUUCAGUCAGGACUGGGUAACAGUGUUUUUCUUUUGACAAAAUUGAGCACCAUUAACUUUUUCCUUCCUGAAAAGGUGCAGCAAGCUAAGGAGACAUGGUGGGGUGUCUAGAAGCCCUCUUUGCUUGUUUCUUCCCUGCUGUUCUGUGGGCCAUGCACCUGGAGCAGGAGCAGACCUCUGUCACAAAGCAGCCACUUCAAGGCAGCUCUGCAAAAUUUACUUGCAAGGUGUUUGGUGGAUCGGACUCUACCUACAUCCACUGGUACCGAGCCCAAGCUGGAGGGGCCCCACACAGGCUGCUGUACCUCACUCUCUCUGGGUCAGACUUAAAGCGAGAGGCAGGCUUCUCCAGUGACAAAUUCUUAGCCUAUGUGAGACAAAGCACCUGCAUCUUGGUGGUGAACAAGCUGGAAGAGACAGAUAACGGCCGCUAUUGCUGUGCCACAUGGGAUUUUACACAGUGCCACAAGUUUCCUGCAACCCCACACAAAAAGCACUACAGCUCUGUGUGUGGGGCUCAACUCUCAUAUUACUACUGCUGCAGCAGAGCAGGCUGAGCUCUGUCCCCCACAGCCCAGGCACACCAGCCGACAGAACAGGCAUAGCCUCAGUCCCACACACCACGGCCAGCGUGAACACCCAUUCAGCCAGCCCAAAUUGUGAAGGGAUUUGCCUCAGCUGGAGAAGUGGGAGUUUACCUAGUGGGUGGCACAAAGCUGAUAUCCAGUGACAGCUCCAUCUCUAAAGGCAGAACAAGUGAUUGAACAGUCACUGCCCAUUUGACUUCACAAAGCAAUGGGUGACCAGAGACACUGGGGAGUGAGAGAAUGAGGGAGAAUGGG